GAUGAACGCUGGCGGCGUGCCUAAUACAUGCAAGUCGAACGAACGGACGAGAAGCUUGCUUCUCUGAGGUUAGCGGCGGACGGGUGAGUAGCACGUGGAUAACCUACCUAUAAGACUUGGAUAACUUCGGGAAACCGGAGCUAAUACCGGAUAAUAUUUUGAACCUCAUGGUUCAAAAGUGAAAGACGGUCUUGCUGUCACUUAUAGAUGGGUCCGCGCUGCAUUAGCUAGUUGGUAAGGUAACGGCUUACCAAGGCAACGAUGCAUAGCCGACCUGAGAGGGUGGUCGGCGACACUGGAACUGAGACAAGGUCCAGACUCCUACGGGGGGAAGCAGUAGGGAAUCUUCCGGAAUGGGCGAAAGCCUGCCGGAGCAACGCCGCGUGAGUGAUGAAGGUCUUCGGAUCGUAAAACUCUGUUAUUAGGGGAGAACCUAUGUGGAAGUAACUGUGCAUAUCUUGACGGUACCUAAUCAGAAAGCCACGGCUAACUACGUG
rnacentral:rRNA from 1 species